ACUGUCUGAGCUGAACUUUGCAGAGCUUUCUGAUCUGAAAAAGCCCAAGUAGGAAACAUCCUUCCCCCCACUAACUCCCGGCAGCUUGCAGUGCUGGGGCAGAUGCUGCAGCAAUGAUGGAGAAGAGGGAUGUGGAAAUGCAAUCAGAGAAAUCAAACUGCAGAAAUCAAGAAAUCAGAGAAAUGAAGCAGACGGGCUGGCAGUGACCUGUCUGCUGCGCAUGCUUGGGGGGGGCUCCCAGCAGUGUUAAGCAGCCCAUUCUGCCUCUACUUGAGGCAAAAGUGCUAUUAUGGGAGGCUUCAGACAUGCAGUGUACCUCCAUGUCCUACCAAAGCGUCCUGCUGGCCAGCAGGUAAGGGCUGCACCAUGGGUUGUCCCAGCAUGGUCAUCCCAGCAAUGAAAACAUACACAGAAAGAAAACAUACACAGUUUUCUUAAAUUCCUGUCAUUAACAAAUCUGUCAAAGGAGGUUGAAGCCCCAGAUCAGAGAUGAUGACUCAAGUCUCAAAAUCAUUCUCCUUUUCUUUCUUAUCUGCCAUCUUACAUUUGGCUGCCUGAAGGCUGAUACUUAGUCAGAGACAGUGGGUGCAGGAGUUUAUAGCAAGGUAAAAUUCCCCGUGGAUGGAGAAUGGGGCUUGUGUUUGCUCAAGAACCCCUCCUGCUCUUGGUUUGCAGGUAAACCAUAAAUGGAAGAGAAAGCUUGGGAAGUCUGCGUGGUUGUCAUCUCAGGAAAUGUAAUAGAAAUUGUUUUAUGAGGGGAAAAGAUCCCGUAAGCGUCUUGCCUCUUCAUCAGGCCGCUCAAUCCACCAGCUUCAGAAUGCUUUUGUCUCUGGUUCCCCUCCCCUGCCACAGGCCCGGUGAUGCAGAAGGCAUCCUUGUGACACAGGAGGUGACAUGACGUGGCCUGGCCUACUGACAGCGGUUCAUGGCCGGGACAAGGGUCAGGAGCUGAAGCACUUGGAUGUGCUCAGACUGAAAGCCACGUGUGGGGUUUCUGGGGUUGCUCAUGGCCGUGUACCACCACAGCCCUCGUGACGAAGGGUUCCUGUGGUGACCCUGGGGCUGAAGGCGCAUCCUGCUGGGCCGGGACCCCUAUCCCACCUCGUCAAACGAGCAGAGCGCUGGCACCUCCUGCUGUAUUGCUCACACCAGCCCUUGCCCAAGAAAGAUACCGGAGCCAUACGUCGGAGCCGUAUGUCUCAUCGGCGCAGCAAGCCUCAAGCAGAAGCUAUUGCCAGAGGCAGAAAUACUCUCAUGGAUGCAGCCAGUAGAACAGGUGGAAAUUUUCCAAAUCGGUUUUUGCGGAGGGAACUUUUUUCCCCGUGAAAAAUGUGGAGGGAAUGAAGGGAAGGGUUGGUAACAGCUUUUAUGGCAUGUCCUUCCCCUUCUAACUUCUAAUUGUCUUUCCUAUCUUAUGACACCCUUGCAGAGAUCCGGGUCUCUUGCUGAUGCCAAGGCAGGAAUAGCAAGGAACCAAAUACUGUGACCCAAAGCUUCUUCUUGUCAGUGCCCUGGUACAAAUAAAUGUAGACACCAGGCCA
rnacentral:lncRNA from 1 species